GAGGGCACCCUUCUGGCCACUCUGCAGGGGGCCUGGGAGAGGCCUUGGGGCCCAGAACUCAGCUUCUCUUCUCAGAGCCGCGAGCCGAGCCCGAGCCCAUUGGGACCUCUGGGUCCAGGCUUCACUAGGCCCAGGGCCCGGUGAAGGCGGCCACUGGCCCUCCCUCCCCUCUGCGGAGCACACCUGAUGCAGGAGAGACCACCAUUUUGGCUUCAUUCACUUGAAGCUGCCUGGUGGGCUGUAGCAUCUCCCAGACCAGCAAGAGAUUGUCCCCAAAUGCCCUGAUGACAUCCAGAAGGUGGCCCAUUUCCCAGUAGGACACAGGCUUGCUCUUUGGGGCUUCCAGGCUCCCCUGGAACCCCUCUGGGGAGGUAAAGGCAGUGCCCAGUGUCUCUCCAGGGAACAAAGGAGUCUGGGAACCCCAGAUUAGCCCUCUCUACUCCUCUGACUUCAACGUCCUGUAGCGGCUCUGUCCCCCACCCUGGCCUCUGAGGUCCUGGCUCCUCCCUCCAGUGAGCCCCCCUAUAAUGGGUUGAAUUCCCCCCCCCCCAACUCUGUUGAAGUCCUAUUGCUCAGUAUUCAGAAUGUGACCUUAUUUGGAGAUACAGUCUCUACAGAGGGAAUCAAGUUCGGGUGAGGUCAUUAGGGUGGGUUUGGGGUCUUUCUACAUAGGGGGAUUUGGGACAUGGACACACCCAGAGGAAUAGCCAUGUCAGGAGUUAGAGGCAGAUAUUGGAACAUGUGGGGAAUGUCUGGGAUCAGCAGAAGCUAGAAGAGGCAGCAAAGACCAACCCCCCCCGCCCCCGCCACCAGUGUAUGGUGCUUUGCCAGGGAGCCCCAGAAAGCAAAUGUGCCUCAUCCCUAACCUCACACCCUGUACUCUGCCGAAGCUCAGUCAAGGGCAUCCCUCUGCCUUCUUUCUCACACACCCCCCUCCCCAGGGCAGCUGGCAUCCCAGGGCAGCUAGCGAUCCCCCUCCUCCCUCCCUCUCCUCCCAGAAUGGGACAAAGGGGAACGGGGCUGCUGAGUGAGGCCGGAGAAGCCAGAGCCCUGCUGGCUGUCCGGACCAUCAUCCCCGUUCCCCAGCGAGCCCACGCUCUACCCCCCACCACUGCAUCCCACCUUCUCCUCCCUCUCAAACCUGCCUCGUCCUCCCCUCCUAUCCCUGCUGCCACAGCUGCCCACCUGCGUUGUCCUCACCUGAGUCUCUGUCUCCUCGGCAUCCCACCUCUCACCUCCCCAGGGCCUCCUCUCUCUGGCUCCAUUAAGGGAAGCACACCUGCCGCUGUCUCUCCUGUUUUCCCUCCACCCCUCCCCUCUGGCCACCACCCCAAACCUUGUUCCCUUUACAGCAAAACCCUUGGACAGAGGAGCUUCCUAGCCUCUGCCUCUCCCACUGCACACCCGCUGGGUGCCCCCUCCCCUGCUCCCCCAGGCUCAGCUCUGCUGCUCCUCCCACUUGCAUGACUCAUGCCCCGCACCCCCCUCCUGCAUGACCCCGCACUCCUGCUCUGCUCACACUCACUCCAGGGAACCAGGCUGGGUCCCAGGCAGCCGCUGCCACCCCAGGACGUCUCAACUGCCCCUGGCUCUCCACUCCGUGUCCAGAAGCAUCUGGAAUUCAGGACAUCCAGAACUGGCUCCCAUGGCCUCCCCCAGACACUGGCUCCUCUGUUCCAUCACUGAUGCCUCUGCCUUUCCACAGCCACAUCCAGUCCAUUGGCAACUACUGUGCUCGACCUUCACCACAGUCCCCAAGGCUAGCAGCUUCCUGCCUUCCCCUGCCAGCCGCCUUUCUGGAGCUUUGCCUCCCCUCUCCUGCCCUCCCCUCCCUCCUCUCUAGCUGCACUGUUCUCACUACUACCCCAGGGCCUUUGCACCAGCCUGGCUUGCUCUUUGUUUCCUUUAAGGCUGCCUUCUGGGGGAGGCUUUCCUGCCCCCAAACCCACCAGCUGUCUGUGGGCACCCUCAGCCCCUGCAGCAGGCCUUAUUUUGCACAUAGCACAGUCUAAGACUCGGAUCGUGAGUCUACAUCUGCUUUAAUCCAAGUUCUGAGAAAGGGUGCACACAGUAAGCGCUCGGUGAGCAUUUAAAGAACAAAACAUGCAACCUUCCUGGGAGCUCCAGCCUUGCUCUGGGCCUUUCACUAUUCACUGGCACUCCCUGCACCAACCUUCCCAGGGAGGGACAUGGUGGCCCAUUCAUGAUGGGAUGGCAAGGCGUCUGCCCAGGCCCCUGGGCUGCUAAGGAUGGAGUCAGGGCUUAGAGGCAGGGAGUCAAGGCUCACUGUCUGGUGGGGAGCCCCUGCCAUGCCCACCGUGGUGGCAGAGGCAGUGCCCUCUCCUGCCUGGAUCCCCGGGGCACAGGCUGCUCAGGAGAACCCACUAGGAGUUCUUUUAAAGUGGCCUGUAACCACCCGCCUACUAUCGUGGGCAGAGUUCCAGAUCUGGGGAGGUUACAGAGGAGGAGAUGGGGCCAGGCCCGCCCUCAUGCCCUGGCUGGAGAGACAAGUAAUUUAAUAUUGUGCCACAGGAUGUGGGGCGUGGGCCACCUGCAGGAGGGCUGACCACGCAGGAUCUGGAUGGUGGGGAAGAGGUUCUAGGGUCUGCAGGUGUCGCGGAGGAGGCUGGCCGGAGCCGAGGCCUGUGAACAGGAAGGACAGAACCCAGCGGGUGCAGUGGAUCAAUAGGGCAAUGGCCCCCAGGGCGUGGGAGGGACAGGGCCAGGCCAGCCCAGAGCAAGGCAGGGCCACAAGAAUGACUGCGACAGUGGGGGUGGCUCCCUGUGGCCCCUCCCCAGGGCUGGCCCUGCACCAGAGCACAAAAAGUGCUGAUGGAUGGACCAAGAGGCACAGUCCCCAGGCUCUACAGCUUGCUCAGCUCCAACGUGGUGAGUGGCCUGGGCAGCCCUGGGCCCCCACCCCCGGCCCCUGCCGUGGCACACAGGGAAAGUGAGGGGGACAGUUCCUGCAUGCCGGUGGCCAGGCCAGGCCCCCUGCGGGCAGGGACUCACCGGCAGGAUGGAGAACCGCAUGAAGAGGCAGAACCUCUGUCCGUUGGAAACUCAAUAGAGAAUCCGUCCAGAAAGAAGCAGGAAGAACUUUCAGGAAACCAGAAGUCACAAACUCACAAACCCCUUCCUACUCUGGAGAACUCCGUGGCUGUCACCCGGCCACCUUCCCCUGCCUGGAUGGCACUUUUAAGGUGCCUGGCUGUUUGGUGUCUGCUGGGGGCCACCACACCGACAUCGGCUUCCCUUCCACACGCUGGACACCCUGGCACCUGGCUGGGCGAGAUUCUAGGGGACCUGGUGCCUCCCGCCCCAAGGCCCCUGGGCCCCUGCUCCAUUCCAGGGAUGGCUGGCUCUUGCACACAUCUCGAGUGAACUGAAGAAGAAUGAGUGAUAGCCCCAGCAUCCACUCUGCCCCUGGCCCCCACGGGAGUCACGGCCCUGAAAACCCUCCCCAGAGCCUGUUCCAUCAGGCAGCUGGCCCCUCUGUACCCAGCAGCCCCAAACCUGCCCUGGCUUAUUCACCUGUUUCUGACUCCACCCACCAGCCUGGAAGCCCCUGGAGGGGAGGCCCCCCCUGAGGUCCCAGGGCUCAGGACUGGGGAAACACUCCUAGCCUAGAACCUGAUUGGACAUUCGAGGAGGAGGGCCUGCUCAAGGUCACACUGCCAACAGGGGCCUGCCAGGCUACCAUAGCUAAUGUCCAACCCAAAGGCAGUCACUUGCUUCACUAUUUUCCAUAAAUCAGAAUUCAGAGCAUCCGGGGCAGGAGGCUCCUCAGGGAGGCUCCAACCGUAAAACCCCAGCAGCCCGUGUGCAUUCCAGGUCUUGACAAGGGGCUUGUGCUCUCAAGAUUGUAUCUCCGUCUGUGAACUGGACAGGACCAAUCUCUGCCAUCUGGGAGGAUUAAUGAGAUAACUGGCAUAUAAGGUGCAUGCACGGGGCUGCCCAGCACAGAGAGGGUGCCACCAGCAGCAGCUGGGUGCCGACCAGCAUCCAGCCGGGGCUGGCUCAGGACCCUGUUGAGCACUGGGCAUGCACACAGCUGGGGGGGAUGGGUCUGAGUGCUCAGUGGAGCCAGGCCACCAGAGUCAUGAUGAAUGACCUGCAUCCCAUGGGCCUCUGGGCUCUGGAGGGGAUGGUGGCACUGUCCAGCUGCCUAGUGUGUAAAGACCAUUCUGCUCUGCCUGACAAGUUAUUAGGGAACUGCCUGUGACUGGGUGGGGGGCAUGCAUGCCUGUGUUGGGGUCUGCAUCUCCCCACCAGCCCAUGUCCCUGCGCUCAGAGCAAAAGUCCAGUUUAAAUUACAGCGGCAGCUGGAGGUGCCACUGGUGUUGGGGCUGUGAUUGCUGCCGCUCUAGGACAAGGAGGGUGCCGACCACUGUGCCAGGCUCAUGUGGACAUGGCCCCCGAGCCCCAUCAGGAGCCUUACAGGUGAGAAAACAGAGGUAUAGAGAGGUUAAGUGACUUGUCCAGGGUCACACAGCCAGUAAGAGGCGGUUGCUCUGACUCUAAAGCCCAAAGGCUUGUGCUUGGCCAGGCAGUGCCCCCUCCCUUGUUCCCUGCCCCAGCCCCCUCACCACGAGAAUGCUGCGGGCAUGGAGUGGCCAGAGGUGGAAAAGCCACGUGGCCGCCAGCAGGAAUCCAGGCCCACCCACACUCUGGGGGUGGCUGUGGGCUAGGGCCAUCCCCUCUGUCCCCCCAGCAAAGGGGCACCCAGCAUCAUGGAGGUACCUCUUGCAACCAUCCUUCCCAACCCCUCCUGGCCUCUCCUUAGUCACGCCCCAUACCCCAGGGUCCCAGCGCCCUCUGACUUUGUCUUUCCAGGACCCACCUAUGCUCUGGCCCGGGGCCACCAAGAUUUCCUGCCUGCCUGACUUCCCCGAUUCCUCUCCCCCCCUUCCAACCUCUGCUCACGGCACCUGAUGCCACCAUUAAAUCUCAGGACCCUGGACCCCAA